UGCAGAAAGACGGCUGGUCACGACUCCGGCCCUCAACUCCCUUUCCCUCAAGCGCUUCCGCAUGCAUCCUUAAAAAGAGGGAAAGCCACCUAGCCACCGGGGAGUGCUUGCACCUGGGCGAACCUCGGACUGCUGCAUGCCCGUCGGCUGGGAGGGUGCAUCCUCGCAGAAACACCACCCGGUCUUUUCGCGAAGGAAAGAUGUGUGUGAACCAUCCUCGUAGCUUCUAAAACCACUGAUCACCUUUGCAACCAUGACACCAUCUUCAGCGUCGGUGGAGCAUUCAUUAUACAAGCGACUUUCAGUCCUACGAGUCUGCAAGGCACUGGAAAGCUUCGGGUAGCGCUUUCCCAGCGGCCACCCGGGCUCGUGCUCUCCAUCCCUGACAGUCCCAGCUUCAGUGAAGCGCAUUUUAGGAAGGUCACGGGAGGACAGUUGGGCGUAACCUCAAGGUCCUGUUUCACAGGCACCGAUUUACUAAACUAGCCAACUCCCGGCUUGCUAAAGGAGAUUUUCAGAAAGUAGCUGCCGGUGGUCAAGAAUAAAAACGUGGAGGCAGUGCCGUCCCGACCGUUUCCCUCCGAUGCCACUAGAGAAAUCACCAACCUCUUGUGUAAAGGUCUUGUCUGGAUCCAAAAUGUUUAGUAGAUCCUCUUGUAUCUCCUCGUGGUUACAAAGGCUGAAAUUGUAAGUGGAUCCCCGUGGAAAGAAGGCGAUUUGAAUAAAGAUGAUCAAGCCACAAAGAACUGCGUAAGAAAAAGCCAAAGGUUAAUUCGCUACGUGACCCAACAAGGCUCGGAAGACAGAUCUGAAGAGAGAGAUGCCCGUGCUUCGGAAGCACUAGAGAAACUGUUUGGUUACCCUUGUGAUUAUCCAUGGUGUCUUUACACGUUGUUUUUCUCCUCCCAGGCGUCAGAUCGUUGCUGGCUUCAUAUAUGUACCUGUACGC